rnacentral:rRNA from 1 species
AAAGGAAUAGACGGGGACCCGCACAAGCGGUGGAGCAUGUGGAUUAAUUCGACGCAACGCGAAGAACCUUACCAAGGCUUGACAUCCCGAUGAAUACGGUAGAGAUACCGUAGGCCCUGCGGGGACAUUGGAGACAGGUGGUGCAUGGUUGUCGUCAGCUCGUGUCGUGAGAUGUUGGGUUAAGUCCCGCAACGAGCGCAACCCCUAUCUUUAGUAGCAAACGCGUGAAGGCGUGCACUUUAGAGAGACUGCCGUGGAUAACACGGAGGAAGGUGGGGACGAUGUCAAAUCAUCAUGCCCCUUAUGUCUUGGGCUUCACACGUGCUACAAUGGCUUUUACAGAGUGAAGCAAAGCCGUGAGGCGGAGCAAAUCACAAAAAGGAGUCCCAGUUCGGAUUGCAGGCUGCAACUCGUCUGCAUGAAGUUGGAAUCGCUAGUAAUCGCGAAUCAGCACGUCGCGGUGAAUACGUUCCCGGGUCUUGUACACACCGCCCGU